ACAGGAGGGGGCGGUACCUGGAGGGAGUGAUGGGGCGGGGCUGGGCAGGGCCUGGCAAGGGGUGACGUGACUGACGUGGCGCAGCGAGAGGGCACAGGCGGGAGGGGCGUGGCCAAUACGGGUGAGGGGCGGGGCUAGGCGGCCUGUAGUUUAGAUUGGGCGAGGCCUCCGAGGAUAGCGCGGGUGGAGCCAGACUAAAACAACAAUGACAAAAGCGAAUUUCCUCCAGUGUCCUUGAUGUCGAAGUCUGCAAUUCUACCAUGUUUUGAGCUGGACUGGUAGCUCAGAUUGGACUCAGAUGAGGACUGUGGAUUCCAUUGUUUUGUUUUGUUUUUUAACAUUUUUAAUUUAAUUUGAACUUAAUCGUGCAGGGAAAUGUACACUUUUUGCUAAACAGUGAUAAUCAUAUAACCACCACCAUGAUCAAGAUGCAGAAUAAUUCCGUUCACCCCCCCAAAAUUCCCUAAUGCUGAUCCUUUGUGGUCUGUGCCUCCCCCUCCACCCUUACACACAUCCCUGACGAUGCCCCCUCCAUCCCUAAAGUUUUGUCUUUGCAUGAAUAGCAUAUAAAUGGAAUCAUCAUACAGUA